rnacentral:rRNA from 1 species
UAGGGAAUCUUCGGCAAUGGGGGGAACCCUGACCGAGCAACGCCGCGUGAGUGAAGAAGGUUUUCGGAUCGUAAAGCUCUGUUGUUAAGGAAGAACGAGUGUGAGAAUGGAAAGUUCAUGCUGUGACGGUACUUAACCAGAAAGGGACGGCUAACUACGUGCCAGCAGCCGCGGUAAUACGUAGGUCCCGAGCGUUGUCCGGAUUUAUUGGGCGUAAAGCGAGCGCAGGCGGUUAGAAAAGUCUGAAGUGAAAGGCAGUGGCUCAACCAUUGUAGGCUUUGGAAACUGUUUAACUUGAGUGCAGAAGAGGAAAGUGGAAUUCCAUGUGUAGCGGUGAAAUGCGCAGAGAUAUGGAGGAACACCAGUGGCGAAGGCGACUUGCUGGUCUGUAACUGACGCUGAGGCUCGAAAGCGUGGGGAGCGAACAGG